UCCGGGCCCAGCCUGGCCGCCGCAGAGGCGGGCUUGGCGUCCGGAGCCCCCUCCCCGUCCGGGCCUGCGGGGCCGCGCGCGCCUGGGCUGCUGACUGCGGCGAGCAGGAGGGCGGAGCCGGGCGGCUGCGGGCCUGCGGUGGUGGGAGAGGGCCGUCUACGCGUGGACCACCCGAGGACUCCAGAGCCUCAUAGAUUUUUAAGGACGGUGCACCCCAAAACGCAGAACCUGCCGUUCCAUCCAGAAUAGCUCAGCUGAUUGUGUUUUCCAUGUUGCCACCCAAAGUCAGUGAGUUUUCUGGAAUUUUUGUUGUUGGUGGUGCCUUUUUCUUUUCUCGUUCCCUGAUGGGCAUUCGGUAGGUCCCUGAUGAUGCAUCAGAGUUCAUUACACCUAAUAAAACUAAAGGUGAUGUUUAAAUAUAAUCUGGUCUGGUAUUUAAUCUAGAAAAAAGGUGAAUAAUAAAAAAGACAAGUUUAAAAUUUUCACUCUAAAA